GAGCCAGUCUGUGGGUCCAGCCUGUGGGUCUGUCGGGAGAUUGCCUGACUCCUCAGCUCUGAGGAGGAGAUGGCCCAGGGAGCUACAGCAGGGACAAAGGCAGGGGAGUUCCUGCGCCUCUGGGAGCAGUUCAGUGACAUGGGCUUCCAGCAGGACCGGAUCAAGGAGGUGCUGCUGGUCCAUGGCAACCGCCGAGAGCAAGCCCUGGAGGAGCUGGUGGCCUGUGCCCAGUGAACACGGAGGCACUCCACGAUGCCUGGGCAUCUAGGCUCAGUGCCAGACCUGGCGACCCAUCCUAACUGUAUUAUUAAAACCAAGUAAGAGUAACAAAGUGAUGCAUACUUAUUGUAAAAACACAAAUAAUACCAAGGGUGACAGUUAACAGCAGCAGAAUCUGCUGAAAGAGUUGAAAUAGUUGCCUCUGCAGAGGGGCAGAUGGG
rnacentral:lncRNA from 1 species